UUCCAGACUCCUACGGGAGGCAGCAGUGGGGAAUAUUGCACAAUGGGGGAAACCCUGAUGCAGCGACGCCGCGUGAGCGAUGAAGUAUUUCGGUAUGUAAAGCUCUAUCAGCAGGGAAGAAGAUGACGGUACCUGACUAAGAAGCCCCGGCUAACUACGUGCCAGCAGCCGCGGUAAUACGUAGGGGGCAAGCGUUAUCCGGAUUUACUGGGUGUAAAGGGAGCGUAGACGGCGAUGCAAGCCAGAUGUGAAAGCCCGGGGCUCAACCCCGGGACUGCAUUUGGAACUGUGUGGCUGGAGUGUCGGAGAGGCAGGCGGAAUUCCUAGUGUAGCGGUGAAAUGCGUAGAUAUUAGGAGGAACACCAGUGGCGAAGGCGGCCUGCUGGACGAUGACUGACGUUGAGGCUCGAAAGCGUGGGGAGCAAACAGGAUUAGAUACCCCUGUAGU
rnacentral:rRNA from 1 species